rnacentral:tRNA from 1 species
GGAAAAGUGCGGCAACGGGUUAUCCACUGCCCUCCGAAGGCAGAGGUCGUGAGUUCGAAUCUCGCCGGGUCCGCCA